GGAAAGGGUGGUAUGUAGGACAACUUUUCAAACAAGGAGACAGAACCAUGUGUGCAUCAUGAAAUCAAUUUGCCACUUGUCAGCCUAAGAUUCCCCAUCUAUUGUGCUAUUUCAUCUGAACAGAAGGAAACAUCUCAGCCAAAGAUAAAGUAUGAAGGGAGACUGGGAGCUGAGAUCAAAAGUUCCAAAAGUAUCCAAAUCUCAUGAUUAGAGAUCUAAAGGAUUCCUAAAGUCACUUAAGCCCUCCUCCCAGAUGCCAUCCGCUGGGCCCAGGCCAUGAAUCUUCUCAGAAUGUUAUCCUAAAGGCCUCCUGUGAGAAUGGGGAAAAAAAAGAGCAUGAGUUGUUCCUCAUCCUCAAGAAGAGCUCCCACUAUCACACAGCCUGCUGGCCGCGUGCUGUUCUGCAUGGGGCACUCUGCCAGGUAAUUCUCAAAAACAAUGAAAAUUGGCAAACCACUUGCCUAACUUAUAAGGACACUGCCACUUGUAACAUCUAA
rnacentral:lncRNA from 1 species